AAUAUGAACCUGCAGCCUUGCUGUGCUCUUCUUGAGUGCUUCCAUGGAGGGCUUACCAUGCAGCUUCACUGGGAUCAGCUCCUGCUAAGGAGCCGGGCGCUGAGCAGCAUCGGCUGGAGAGACGUGAGAGAGCCGCAGUCCCACAACCGCAUCUCCGGAGUGGCUCUUGGCUCGUCCCAACGGCAGCAGCAGCGGGAGGCAGGAGAUGGAUGCAUGUGGCAGGAGCAAAUGGACUGCUGAAUAUGUAAGUAAGCAGAUCCCUGAGGUCCAGAUCCAAGAACUACCAGUGAAGAGAUGCUGUGCAGAAUAAGAUGGCAGAACAUGCAAUGGAGAACCAGAUGAGCCACUGUAGCCAUCAGUUAAAUAGGAUGCAAGAGAAAUGAGAGAGUGCAGAUAGUGAAACUGAACUGAUGCCGGAGCUUUGAGGUAGAAACAAGUAGGGAUGUGAGGGCAUGUUAAUAUGACACUGGUUCCAUUCUUGUCUUUUACUUUUGACCAAUCUCACUCCAUCACAGAAAGAGAAAGAACUUCAGAGUUACUCCCUUGAAGAUAUUGAAGUGUUCAGAGACCAGCAUUGGAAUAGGAGGAGCGUGCUUUCUCUAAGUGAUUCUAAUUCAUCCUCUGUUAUACAGAGUAUUAAUCAAGACUCUUAGCUCUACACUGAAAAGAUCAAUAAAUACCAUAAGGAGGCAUUGACAAGCAAAGGAUAAAAUUGCAGCCAUAUUCUUCAUGGACUCAGUAAAUGUUUUUGGGGGGUGGGGAGCAAAAAAAAGAAAAAACCUUUUUGAAAUUAUUUAGCGAGAUGAGUGAGUGGUGAGAUGAGCCAGCUACUGGGUUGCCUUCAGAAAUGUGAAUGCCAAGAAGGUCUUCAAUACCAAUACUGUGGAAUGAUGGUUUCAUCCUUGUGGGUCCAAGCAAGCACUAGACAAGUGACGUUUUCAUAGGAUCACAAAAUUAAUAUCAUUCCAAGACUACUACUUUAAAGAGGAUUACAGAAUGCAUCAAAUAAUGUUUAUCUAUUCAUAGCAAUAAAUAAAUAAAUAAAUCACAUGCUCUUUAAU
rnacentral:lncRNA from 7 species